rnacentral:lncRNA from 1 species
AGCCUGCAGCUUGCAAAAGUACCUGGUUAUUUUUAUUCCUUUGAUACUUGAUCUACUAUCAAAAUAACUGAUUUUUUUCUCUUUAACUCCUUAGGAAUCCCUAAAAAACCUGCCACAGGUGAGGCACUGCCAAAAGCCCCCUCAGUUGCCCAUGCACAGGAUGGGUCGGGUCACCGCUUGCACAGCCCUGCAACUGCAGCUGUGCUUGGUGCAGGGUUUCUCCUGAAGACGUGAGGGUUUUGUCCUGCCCUGCGUGCGUUUUGCAAUCCAGAUACUCAGGAACAUCUUUGCUGCCGACGUAUCUUGGGCUCUCACUUGUGCUUGUCCUGGCCAUCCUUGCACAUGGUGUGUCUGCAUGUGUCCAGCUGGAAGAUGAUGGGCAAGACAUGACCAUAAGAGGGGUUUUAUAA